AACGAACGCUGGCGGCAUGCCUAACACAUGCAAGUCGAACGAGACCUUCGGGUCUAGUGGCGCACGGGUGCGUAACGCGUGGGAACCUGCCCUUAGGUUCGGAAUAACUCCCCGAAAGGGGUGCUAAUACCGGAUAAUGUCUUCGGACCAAAGAUUUAUCACCCUUGGAUGGGCCCGCGUUGGAUUAGCUAGUUGGUAGGGUAAAAGCCUACCAAGGCGACGAUCCAUAGCUGGUCUGAGAGGAUGAUCAGCCACACUGGGACGGAGACACGGCCCAGACUCCUACGGGAGGCAGCAGUGGGGAAUAUUGGACAAUGGGCGGAAGCCUGAUCCAGCAAUGCCGCGUGAGUGAUGAAGGCCUGAGGGUUGUAAAGCUCUUUUACCCGGGAUGAUAAUGACAGUACCGGGAGAAUAAGCUCCGGCUAACUCCGUG
rnacentral:rRNA from 1 species